rnacentral:lncRNA from 1 species
AUGGACCGGUGUUUUAGAGCUCAGAUGAUUAUUGAUUAUCUUCUAUGCCUUGACCCAACAAAGAAAAUUGAUUAAACUAGUUCAUUUCCCACAAUAACACUAGGGAUUAGUUUUUCUGAUUUGGUUUGUGCAAUGCUAUAUAUGGUAACUCAGUAAAAUCACUCCAAAAAAAAAAAAAGUCAUUCAACUAUUUUGCACUGUUCAUUUGCUUCAUCACACAGAAUAAGUUACAUAAUGCCAAUUCAAAGGGAGCAAUAAGAAUUCAACACACCAGCUGAGUGACUCUUGAGUUACAUAAAUAAGUUACUAAACCAUUUCUGAUUUCAUAUAUAAUUGUUAUUAGAACUUGUACGUGCAUUCUAGCCUAAAUAAUAUCCUUACAAUUAUGACAAUCAAGGUUCUGUCCAUUUUAAUUUUAUAUUAUAGAAGUUUAACUUAAUAGUUAAUUAGUUUCAUAGCAAUCACUAGUUGCUUCAUCUAAG